rnacentral:rRNA from 1 species
UACGGGGGGGGGCAAGCGUUGUUCGGAAUUACUGGGCGUAAAGCGUGCGUAGGCGGUUUGUUAAGUCCGCUGUGAAAGCCCUGGGCUCAACCUGGGAAUGGCGAUGGAGACUGCAAGGCUAGAAUCUGGCAGAGGGGGGGUAGAAUUCCACGUGUAGCAGUGAAAUGCGUAGAGAUGUGGAAGAACACCGGUGGCGAAGGCGGCAUCCUGGACCGGUAUUGACGCUGAGGCGCGAAAGCUAGGGGAGCAAACGGG